AGUGAACGCUGGCGGCGUGCUUAACACAUGCAAGUCGAGCGAGAUCUGACAGCACACCGUCAGGUCUAGCGGCAGACGGGUGAGUAAUAUUUGGGCAAUCUGCCCUUGAGUGGGGGACAACCUGCCGAAAGGCGGGCUAAUACCCCAUAAGACCACAGGGAUGCAUAUUCCAGGGGUCAAAGCUCCGCAAGGGGCGCUUAAGGAGGAGCCCGAAUCCUAUCAGGUAGUUGGCGGGGUAAUGGCCCACCAAGCCGUUGACGGGUAGCCGGCCUGAAAGGGCAACCGGCCACACUGGCACUGAGACACGGGCCAGACUCCUACGGGAGGCAGCAGUGGGGAAUUUUGGACAAUGGGGGCAACCCUGAUCCAGCGACGCCGCGUGAAGGAUGAAGGUCUUCGGAUUGUAAACUUCUUUUGGAGGGGAUGAAUGCCCCUGGUGAAUAGCCAGGGGUGACAGUACCCUUCGAAUAAGCCACGGCUAAACUACGUGCCAGCAGCCG
rnacentral:rRNA from 1 species